GUGAAAUUGUUGAAAGGGAAACGGUUGAAGUCAGUCAUGCCGGUGGGAAUCAACUUAGGGGAAACUCUGAGUGCAUUUCUACACUUUGCAGGUUAGCGUCGAUUUUGGAUGUCAUAAAAUGACUGGGGGAAGGUAGCUCCUUCGGGAGUGUUAAGCCCUUAGUAGAUGUGAUGUUUAGGAUCGAGGAUUGCAACGGAUACCUUUUAGGCUAACUGCCUGAUCUCUAAUUUGAAGUUGGGUUAUGGACAGCAUGCUGACUGUGAUCUGAUUUUCGGUUAAAAGAUUAGAGCGAGUGUAAAUUCGUUAAGGACGCUGACGUAAUGGCUUUAAACGAC
rnacentral:rRNA from 1 species